rfam:Salmo salar isolate Sally breed double haploid chromosome ssa20, whole genome shotgun sequence.
UUUGACACUUACUGUAAGUCGCUCUGGAUAAGAGCGUCUGCUAAAUGAUGUAAA